AGGUGUUUAAUUUAACUAAAAUAUUAAUUUGUCAAAUUAAAAAUAUCUGAAUAGAUAAUAUCUA
rnacentral:tRNA from 1 species